AGAGAUGGCUGUGUUGGUGGCAGCUGCAGCGGUCGAAUUAGAGACUAAGGUUGGUGUAUUGUCGACGGUUAUUGUGGACGAAGAGUGGUCCUGUGUGGUCCUGGUUGAUUCGUUUUGGCGUCUGCGUUUGUAUUGGAGGAGAGGUAAUGGAGCUUCUUUGUUGAGAAUACAUACAGGAGGAGGAGGAGGAGGAAGACGCUCAUCUUCUUCUGUUUCCUCACGUUUGAGUGCCUCCUCAAUUUCAUCAUUACGGUUACUGUUGUUAUUCUCUUGAUGGUUAAGUUCGAUAUCCAUUUGGGUUGUAGUCUCUCUUGGUGGCUCGUUGAUGUUAAUGAGGUCCUUGCUUUCUGGCUGUAUUUCCUACAAGUAAAAUAUUGAAAUAGUAGAGUGAUUGUUCAAUAGAGUAGUCCAGUUCAAAAAAAAAAAAAAACUGAGUUAGUCCAUUGAAGCUACUUAAGAGAUUGGUUUCAACACAGAGCUUUUUGCAUAUAACAAAAAAAAUAAAAUGAAACUGAAGGUUAUGAAGGAAGUACAAACCUGGUUCAUAUGGUUGUUUCCAUUGGCUAGUGGUAAUGGCUCUGCUCUGACCCUAACGUCUACUCCUGGAAUCAGAGCUACUCUAUCAUCAGACCAUUCCUCUUCCAUGAAUGGCGCGUAUCGGUUCCCACUUGGAGGCCCAAUGUUAUUCUUGUGAAAGAUUCUACACAACACAUAUGCAUCUUGCUACACACUCAAAACAAAGAAUUGAGUUAAGAUAAGAAGUUAACUUAAGGAUUCUUUGGUUAGUAUUAGAUAAACCAAUAAGUAAGUUUUACCACCAAGUUUCCAUUGCUUUCAGUUUCGUAGUCCACGAGGCGAUACUCGUGCAUGACCCAAUUGGUGCGGAGCCCGUCAGGGGCACGACCGCUGUGGAAAACGAGAGUCUUUUUCAUACCGAGGAUCUGAACGUCACGGCGGAUCUCCCUGUCUUUGCCGGUCGCUUUCCAGUAGCCUUUGUUAGUGGCUCGGUUCAUCCUAGCGCCGUUACCGUACUUCUUGUCUAACGCGCUGUAGAAGUACCAUUCCUGGUCCCUUGUCUUUAACCUCGAGAACACUAGAAAACACACACACAACACCGCAGAAUUAAAAAAAAAAAAUUCAAACUUGAGAUAUUCAGACAAGAAAAAAAACAACUCCUGAAACACAAGCAAACUAAUUGGGAUAUUCAAACUUGAGAUAUUCAGACAAGUAAAAAACAAACUCUAUGUCCUGAAACACAAGCAAACUAAUUGGGAAAACACAAAUUAACAAGGAAUCUGAAAAUACACCAAACUAAACUCAAAAAUUCAGAUAACUAAACACAGAUGAACAAACUUCAUUCCCUGAAACACAAGCAAAGAUGCCCAAAAAAUACUAGAUUUUACACAAUUAAAUAAUUCGAUUUAUGUCACACUUUUACAGCCUAAACUUAGCAAAAAUUAAAUCUUCAACGAAAAUUACCGAAACCCAUAAAGCUAAACUCUUUACCCAGAAUUGAGUCAAGAGACCAAACCGCAAACUCAGCCCAAAUCAAAAUCAAGAAACUCACAGAGAAACCAAAUCCAAACAGAUACUCAAAAAAAAAAAAAAAAAAACAAAAAGAGAGAGAGAACCUGCUAAGUCCCAAGGCUCGUGCUUGUAGAUAUCAACUUCCCCAAUCGCAUCGAACCGCACAGGCUUCCCCAGAACCUUUCUCUUCAAGUAAUAGCUCACAAGCUCCUCGUCAGUAGGAUGAAAUCGAAACCCAGGAGCAAGCGAAGUCGCCGACACAGCGGCACCCGGAGCAGUCGCAGACGGCGGCGAGGACUCAACAACAGCCAUAGAUUCGCGACCCAUUAAAAGAAAAGACAGAACUCUGUUUCUAGGGUUCCUCUCUUUCCCCCAAACAGACAAGGGAAGUUGGGAAAGUGGGUUAUCGAUUAGACGGAGAAGAGAGAGAGAGAGAUGCCCCCAAAGAUUAAAAGGUACCUUCAAUUGCAAGAAAUUUUUUUUUUUUUCUUUUUCUGCGUUUCCAAGAAACAAGUUAUUUCAUUUUAUUCCCCAUUUCUUUUUUUUUUCUUUCGUUUCAGUAAUAAACCCUAGCUUCACUGAGUAGGUUUUUUUGUCGUAUUAUGUAGUAAAAUAAUUAAAACGCUGUCGUAGUGAUCUCAAAAGUAAAUUUUUUUUUUUUAAACUGUAAAGAUGAAAAACCAAAAGAACAAACCUACACUACACAUACAAACAAGGUACGAUCAUUCUACUGGGACACACAAACUCAUAAAUGAUGGAGACAUUUAAUUAUGAAAGGUUCCGUAUAACAUAUCGACAUAGUCCAAAAAUCGAAAAUCUUCCCAAUUUGAAUAAGAUAUACGAAUCUCAUGCAUUGAUUACCUUUCCAAAUACGUACAUCUGGAUAGAAAAUGUGUUCGGAUUUUAUGAUAAAAGUCUUCUUUGAAACUUGAUAAACAAGAAAUUAGACCGUAAAAAAGUUAAAAGACAUUAAGAUAAGAGUAGAUUAACACUAGUUUCAUGCCCGAGAAGAAUACACGUGGAAUUUUUAGUCCGAAUAUGGUUGGUUAUUUGGAUUAUUUGCAGAUGAAAAAGAAAAAGAUCAUUAAUCGGUUUAAGAAAAUUAAGAUAAAGUAUAAUACUUUUUUUUUUUGUUCAAAAAAGUAUAAUACCCUUUUGAAAAUCGAAUCCAGGGUAAAUUCGUACCUAAUCCCUUUUUGUCUUUUUUUUUAAAAUAAUUGCAAAUUACGUGUAACGAAAGUCUUCAAACGUCGUUGACGGAACGAACCACAUUCGUUCAUCGUAACGCUAACCAAUUAAAAAUGACCUUUAUACCCUCAAUGUUAUCACUAAUUAACGAGGUUAAGCUUUCUCUUCCCACUUCUCGAGGAAGACAAAGUAGUUUCUUGUCUGGAAGACCAGAUGAAGCACUUAAUCAUAUAGAUUGAACAUUCCUUGAAACAGAUUACAGAGAGUUCUUAACUGAAUAGACUUAGAUGAUAAUAUAUGACAAUGGAGCAACCUGAGAAUGUUCUCAAAAGAUGUAGAACCCAUCAGAAAAAAAAAACCAAACCGGUCCCGGUUUAUCCUAAUUUUACACGGUUCUCAAUCCGUCUGAAGAAGCUACAUAGAUAGCUCACAAUAUUUUAGGGAGAUUACAGCUAAAAAAAGCAAAGAAGACACCUGGAGAGAUGGGGUUUUUAGAGCAUUUAGUGUCCAUUAGCGUUGUUCUUCUUGAGCUCAUCGUUCUCCUGACGCAGAGCAUCGAUCCUGGACUGGAGAAUACUGAUCAUAGCCUCUGCACUCAUCAUCUCAAGCUUGAAUGUCUCUCUCUCAACAGACAUCUGGUGAACCUCCUUCUGGAGAUCAUCCACCUUCUCUUCAGGAGAUGGAAGUGGAGUAAGAGGAGGUUGAUGGUUUUCUUUCUUCUCGGAGAUGCCCAUGAGUGAGAACUCGAGCAACGCAGAGAUGGCCGUGUUGGUGGCCACAGCAGCGGUUGGUGUGUUGUCGACGGUUGUUGUUGUGGACGAGCAGUGGUCCUGUGUGAUCCUGCUUGAUUCGUUUUGUCGUCUGCGUUUGUAUUGGAGGAGAGGUAACGGAGCUUCUUUGUUGAGAAUGCAUAAAGGAGGAGGAGGACGCUCAUGAUCUUCAUCUGCCUCCUCACGUUUGAGUGCUUCCUCUUCUUCUUCAUCACAAUGGUUAUUCUUAUGG
rnacentral:lncRNA from 1 species